rnacentral:rRNA from 1 species
CCCUUAGAUGUUCUGGGCCGCACGCGCGCUACACUGAUGCACUCAACGAGUCUCACCUUGACCGAAAGGUCCGGGAAAUCUUCGAACUUGCAUCGUGAUGGGGAUAGAUUAUUGCAACUAUUAAUCUUCAACGAGGAAUACCUAGUAGGCGUGUGUCAUCAGCGCGCGUCGAUUACGUCCCUGCCCUUUGUACACACCGCCCGUCGCUCCUACCGAUUGAAUGUGCCAGUGAAAAGUUCGGAUUGGAGAUAGGAGACGGCAACGUAUCCUAUUUCCGAGAAAAUCUUUAAACUUUCCCAUUUAGAGGAAGGAGAANUCGUAACA